rnacentral:rRNA from 1 species
AUGUGCUGCCAAGGACACUUAAUAAUCUCGAGUGAAGUUGGAAGCCAUUGGAUCUUUUUCGAACUGCAACUAGCAGGACAUCAACUCCAAAAUUAUCAAAGAGUGCAGAGGAGGAGCAGCAACAACAACACGGGCACGGGAGAAGCAGGCGACAGGGGAGAAUCACGGGAGACAGCAGAGCUCCACCAGCAGGAGCUCGAGGAGAAGCAGCAGUGGGAGCUCGGGAAGAAGCAGCAACCGGAGCUCAAGGAGAAGCAACAGGGGGAGCUCGAGGACGCGCGGGAGAGCAGUUCUGGGCGGAAGCGCGGAUCUUGGCGGCGGCGCAUGUAUGGGCGGCGGCGGCAGAGCAGUUGGGCGGCAACGCAAGUCUGGGCGACGGGAGGGGAUCGAGGCGGCGGAGGCGACGCCCCUAGGAACCGCGGCUGGAGGGGACCGCAGCUGGCCGGCGCCGGCCCCUCUCGGACGAUGAGCGGAGGAAGAAGACGGGGCGGAGGGGUCUGUUUGAGACAAUUUUGA